UGUGGAUACAUGCCAGACUUCCCCACUGCUGUUUGAACCGCAGCUGAGCAAAGUGAGGUAGCCCAGGUCCUUUUUUGAGAGAACAUCAUGGACUUUUCACAGAAACUGAGAAGGGCCACAGGGGCAGGCCGAGGGGUAUAUGUGAUGUUACUUUGUUUUCAGCGCAAGACUGCUGAAGGAGCCCCUCUCGGUCGCCAGCAAAAGGGCCAGCUCCACGAAUCGUCUCCAAGGUCAGUGCUGUGGGAUUUCCCUGUGCUUCCUCAACGACAGUGUUGAAACAUCGGAACAAUGGAACCUGACUGCUCAAAACUUCUCAGAGCAUUUACAGGUAGAAGUUUGCAAGUUUUGGAUCAUUUGAACUAGCGGUGUUAAAAGCAGCCUGAAAUUAAUCCGGACAACAAGCUUCAUCUGUUAUUUAUGCUAGGUCUGAUGCUUAGUGUCAGAAGCACUCCAAAGAAUAUUUAAACAGACCUUGAAUAAAAAGCAUGCACAGGGAAGAAUCGAUGUUGUCAUCUCUGUAGGAUGAA